GUCCGCUGCACAGGUUAGUGUCAUCACUGUCAUCUGGAGGACAAAUGAGCACAUUGUUAAAGAAAAAAUCAAAACACUACAGCAGGAAACAUGGGUCAUUUCUAUUCAGGAAUUACCAUUAACUUGAACACUAUUAGUUUAAUAUUUUUGCAGAGUUUCAUAAAAUGCAAAGUCUUUUUAAAAGCAAAAAAAACAAAUAUCUAGUCAUCUCUGAUUAGUCAGUUUUGGCUAACCAUCCUGCAUAUGGGGUCUCAUAUAAAAACUGUUGUAAAUAAGGAACCUUUAAGACUUUGAGCUAAGCAACAGACACUGCUUUGAUGCAAUUCUGGAGUUAUGAAUGUCUAAACUGUGGUACAAGUUCCUCUGCUGGGGCCCAGGCUCGCUGUAGUGAUACACAGAAUAAAAUGUUUGAAUUAUUUUUAAGGUAAAUUUAAAUGACUAAACCAUACGGUAGAACUAAUAAGCACUUGUAGCCAAAAAUAUGUUGUUCAAGCACAUUGAUCUGCAGUUUGUCUGAAUCUUUGCAAAUAGGUUUUCAAUUGUAUGCUAUAUUUACCUAACCUCUGAAGUCAAAUCUUGAAAGUUGGGAUCACAACUUGUUAAAUCAUGAACUGACUAAAAUCAGAGGUGUAUAGAAUAGCCAAAAAUUGCACUCAAGUAAUAGUAAUACAAUUUCAACAUAUUUUUACCCAAGUAAAAGUAAAAAGUAGCCGUCCAAUAAAUUACUUGAGUAAAAAAGUAUUUGGUAAAAAGUCGGAUCAAAACAUUACUCAUUUAAUAUUUAAAAAUUACAUCAGACAUACCAAAACUGUAACCUAAUUACAAAAUAACUAAAACAUUUUCUAAAUCAGUUUCUAUCUAUAAAAAAAACCCAUACAAAACUAACAAAAACUGCAGGUCAGUGCCUGUUUGGUGAAUUUUUGGUUAAAACAUGUUUUUCAUUCAGGAAAGGUACUCACAGUGAGUAGAGUAUCCAGAAAAGUUACUCGAGUAGCGAUACUUCUAAAUAAAACCAUUCAAGUAAAUGUUCAAAAGCACAGCAUAGUAAGAACACUCCUGAAAGUAAAUUGUUGCCAAAACGUUACUCGAGUAAAUGCAGGAGAUGCUAAAAUCAAACAUUUGUAAUAAAUGGUAAUACGUUUUUUAGAUAAUUUGAGUAAAUUUGGCUGGAUGAAUAGUUCCCAGUUUCCUCUAUUUGUGGAUAAUGGCUCUCAUUGUCCUUGACUGGAAAGUCAAAUAUUUAGAAAGUUUGGAAAGCUUUUUCCCCUGCCUAAUAAAAGUUUUAAACUUUCUUCCCUAGAGGAAGAAUAAAAACAGACAGAGCUCAUAAAACCUCCUGCUAGCAGUUGCAAUGAAUAUUUAACACAAGUUGGAAACAUCCAUCUCUGCGACAGAAUCACACCUGUGAAACAAGUUAGUGCUUCAUUAAAAUAUGUCUUCAUUGUGUAAAAUGUGUUAUUACCUCCUUGAUAAUCUUUCAGGUUGUCAGUAAUCUGGGUUUGUGGGUCCAGAGGUUUGGUCUCAGUUUUAGAGGUGGGUGAUGCUAUGGGCAGAUCGGGUUUGGAGUCGGGUUCAGAUGUGGGAGGAUCAGCAGUUGUUUCACCUGGAUUAACACCGCCACUGGCGUUGUCCGGGCCUGCCGCUGUGGAUGAGAGCAAGUCGUCUGUAGCUGGGGUGAGAGUGGAGUCUGAAACGUCUUGCAGAACAUCAGGAGAGCUGGUUGUGAUGCUUUCUGGACUGCUCUCUGUGUUUGGGUUUGAAGUGGUUUCCUCAAUCACUGACGCCAACGUUGACGAGCCCGGAGUUGUGGUGAGCUGGGGGUUUUCCAGCUCUUCCAUUAAGUCCUUUACGUUGGUGGGGCUAACCUCUGGUGUGUCAGCCAAUGUUGACGAGCCCGGAGUUGCGGUGAGCUGGGAGUUUUCCAGCUCUUCCAUUAAGUCCUUUACAUUGGUGGGGCUGACCUCUGGUGUGUCUGAGGGGGAAAUCUCCGUCUCAGUCACUGUAGCUCCAGACGAAGCUGUGGGUUCAGUUUGUGGCUCUGAGGUCGAUGAAGGGUCAAGGACGCCGCAGUUUAGUUCAGUUGGCGGUUCAGAGGGAACCAGAGGAGUCGUUGCUUGAUUGGGGUCGCUUGUCGGAUCUGUGGGGUCUUAAAAUGGGGAAACAAUGGCAAUUUAAUAGCACUGUAACUAAUGGUUAAUUUAGCUAACGAUUAUUUCCACAAUUAACUAAUCAGAUUUUUUUUAAAAGUUACCCCAUUGUGCACAUUUUUCAUUUAACCUUUUUUUAUACAAUGUUAGAAAUACAUUUUCAAAAUCCUUUAAAUAAGAAAAGAAUUUUUUUUUGGCUUAAACACAAUAUCACAGCAUUCCUUUAGUGCAGGAGUGUCCAAAGUGUGGCCUGGGUGCCAUGUGUGGGCCCUGAAAUGAUUUUGUUGGGCCCCUGACAACAAAUCAAGAAUGGUAAAAAUCUGCCCUACAAAAUAGAAAGCAAUAGUUUUGGCACCUCUGUAGAUGCAUCGUUUUAUUUUUAUAAAAAGAUGCAUCUACAGCAAAAACAUAAAAUAAUACUUCUACAUGUGAAACGCUCAGUUCUAGGGCUGAGUAGGGCUAAUCUGUUAACCGGUUUUUAGAUUAACUAAUUAAUUUAAAAAGCAAAUGGUGCUUAAUUGGAGAUUUUACUUAUUUUUUAUGUAAAUGGUUCUGAAAUGGUUCUGGUGUGAAACAAAAGAUGGUUGUUUAAAUCCACUUUAGGGUCACUAUUAAGUGCAGUGUAGGUUCUGUAAUGCUGUGGGCCUGGUUGUUUCCCAAUAUCUCUGGAUUUUUUACACUGAACAUCACACACCUGUGCAUGCAGUUGUAAUUGCUGUCGAAGAAAGAAAGUCAUCCACAGGCGCUGGCUCUAUACUGAACUGUGGAUCAUCUCUAACCAGAGUCGGUUCUGUCGGGAUUUCAUCCACGGGCUCAACUGGAGUCAGUUCAUCACCACCGCUGACCUCUGGGCUUUGAGACGCAUUCUGUUGCACAUCUCCAUUGGUGGACAAGUCGUCACCCGGAAAUAUCUCAGCAAAUAUAUCUACCAGAGAGAGGUUUACACUGCCUGUUAUUGUCAUGUCUGGAAAAAGUUGUUUGUUAAACUCUUCCUGGUGUUUCUGCUCACCAUCGCCAUCGCCAAGAUCUGUGGGAGGAUACGGUGUCGAACUGUCUGGAGUAAAUGAGCUGUCAUCUGCAGAUGAAUUGGAAAAAAAUUGGAAAUGGUUGUAAAUAGCAUUGCAUAAAAUUUCCAUUGAAGUCUUGACAUGCCAGGAUUGUCCAUCUCCAAGAAGCAGAAGAAAGAAUUAAUUGGAAAAACACGCAUGUUUUUGUCUAACUUCUAGUGCAAAUGUAUUUGUACACAUGAAAUAAGACAAAAUUAACUUCCAAGUAACUCUUCAGCAAGAUAUAGGAGCUUGUUUUAAGCCAAUAAUUCCUUUGUAUAUAUUUUUUAAAAGUGCUGGGUCCAGUUGCAGAUUAUUAUCCAUUUUAUAUACCUACUUAUUAUACCAAUGGAACUAUUACUUUUACAUUAAAUAAAACAUAAAGCAUACUUCUCUAUCUUGCUGAAAAGUUACUUGAAAGUUAAUUUCAUGUUCUUUCAAGUACUAAGAUAUUUGCAUCAGAAAUUCUUCAAAAAUACCAGGUAAGCUUGUCUUUUUUGCAGCGUAUAUGAAACAGGGUUUUAUUUUAACAAUAUUAUAGAUGUGAUGUUUGUCAAAAUAUCCUUAUUUAUUCUUCAAAUAAUUUUUUUUAGUCAAAAAGUUAUUUUUGAUAAUUGCAGAAUGACAUUUAUUUAUUGGGAUAUAAGUUAUACUUAUGCUGCCCUUAACGGUUGAUGGUUACUAUAGUAACCACAGUUGCUAGGGGAGGCGCUAGCAUCUGACAGCUCCUCCACUUUUCCUGCUGUUUCUCUUUGCCCAGUUGUUACUACUUGUUAGGAUUUUGCAGUGUUCCCGACUCCUUCAUAAAAGGGCAAGAAUGUAUUAUGUAAUUAUUCUUCAAGUAUAAUUCUGCGGUUUCCUUUCAUGAGACUGAAUGUGAGCCCAGCUUUCCUCCACGUGUCCCCGACUCAUAACAACACUGCUGCCUUGUGUUUCAUUUGGCUCCAGAGGCUUGUUCUGCUGGCUCCCGGCCCUUCAGAGAAAGCACCAGUGGCAGAGCUUCAAUCGGCUGGAUGGGCACAUCUUCCUGCUCUCUUUCACUCGGAAAUAAAAGUUCAGCUCCUGACAUUUACUCACAUGGCUUAAAACGUGAGUUUCAGGACUGGAGCUGGAGAACGGAGAGAUCUAAAGACGGAAGUUAUCAUAUCUAACCAUCACCAAUAGUGCACAGGAAACGAAUAUGCUUCAAAGCUGUGCAGAGGAGCCACUUUGCUGGGUUUGAUAUUAUCUUCUGCUGCACCCUGUGGAUCCCAUCGGGCAUAAACAAUAUCACAGAGUGGUAUAUAUCAGGCAUGAAUUCAUCCAGCAGAGAACUAUUUCUGUUCAUGAAUCUGAUGACUAACAGUAACCGAAAGGACAAGUGAAGUCACAGUGCAAUGUAUUUUGUUUUUGUUAAGUCCCAUGAGAUGUCAUUUUUUGUAAAUUGGCACUGGAUAAGUGUCAUUGGAAAAAUGGUUAUUUGAGCUUUUACGAUAUAAAAUAUUAAAUUGAAAUUCAAGA